rnacentral:rRNA from 1 species
GGCCUGGGCGUGCAGCUUGCAUGCCUGCAGGUCGACGAUUUUCCGGUUGAUCCCGCCAGAGGCCACUGCUAUUGGGGUUCGGCUAAGCCAUGCGAGUGGUGGGCGUUCCGAAAGGGAUGGCCCCGCACACGGCUCAGUAACACGUAGUUAACCUACCCUCGGGACGGGAACAACGCCGGGAAACUGGCGAUAAUUCCAGAUAGGUGAGGGACGCUGGAAUGCCUCCUUGCCUAAAUCCUCUGGGGCCCGAGGAUGGGACUGCGGCCUAUCAGGCUGUUGGUGGUGUAACGGACCACCAAACCUACAACGGGUACGGGCGAUGGGAGUCGGAGCCCGGAGAUGGGGACUGAGACAAGGCCCCAGGCCCUACGGGGCGCAGCAGGUACGAAAACUCCGCAAUGCGCGAAAGCGUGACGGGGGAACCCCAAGUGCCGUUGGUCUUUGAUCGACGGCUUUUAGGGAGUCUAAGAAGCUCCCGGAAUAAGGGCUGGGCAAGUCGGGUGCCAGCCGCCGCGGUAAUACCCGCAGCCCAAGUGGUGGUCGCGAUUAUUGGGCCUAAAGCGCUCGUAGCCGGGCCAGCAAGUCCCUUGUGAAAUCGGGCGGCCUAACCGUUCGGCUUGCAAGGGAUACUGUUGGUCUUGAGGCCGGGAGACGUCUGAGGUACUCCGGGGGUAGCGGUAAAAUGCUGUAAUCCUCGGGGGACCACCAGUGGCGAAGGCGUCAGACGAGAACGGACCUGACGGUGAGGGGCGAAGGCUAGGGGAGCGAACGGGAUUAGAUACCCCGGUAGUCCUAGCUGUAAAGCAUGCGGGCCAGGUGUCUGGUGUUCUUUGAAAGCACCAAGUGCCGGAGGGAAGCCGUUAAGCCCGCCGCCUGGGAAGUACGGUCGCAAGGCUGAAACUUAAAGAAAUUGGCGGGGGAGCACUACAAGGGGUGAGACCUGC